GGAAGGAAAUGAGAUCAUUUUGAAGAGUUCAAGAUGGCCACACAAAACUAAGAUCACAUGCGUAACACUUAUAAGAUGCAAAGUGAGCAAUUGAUCCGGACUGAUGGACUGCAGCAAGUUAUUGGUGAUGCUAUUGGUUCAAUAAUUGCAUGACCCCCUAUUUUUAUGGAACUUGUCCAGAUGCAAAGCUCCUAAUCAUUAUGUACAUAGUCUUUUUUUUAAUUGUCUACUUGGAUAAUAGGUUCUGUUAUCAAAAUCUUAAAAGAUAUGUCUAUAAUUUUGAUCAAAAAAUUUAUACUUUUAUCACUGUUAGUUUUGUUAUAUGAAAAGCUCUUCUUAUUA